rnacentral:rRNA from 1 species
AACGAACGUUGGCGGCGCGCUUAACACAUGCAAGUCGAACGCGAAGGGGAGCAAUCCCUGGUAGAGUGGCGUACGGGUGAGUAACACGUGGAUAACCUUCCCUUGAGUGGGGGAUAACCUUCCGAAAGGAGGGCUAAUACCGCAUAGGUCGGCGGAAAGUACGCUUUCUGUCGGCAAAGCUAGCCUCUACAUGUAAGCUGGCGCUUUAGGAAGGGUCCGCGGCCCAUCAGCUAGUUGGUAAGGUAAUGGCUUACCAAGGCAAAGACGGGUAGCUGGUCUGAGAGGAUGAACAGCCACACUGGAACUGAGACACGGUCCAGACUCCUACGGGAGGCAGCAGUGGGGAAUCUUGCGCAAUGGGCGAAAGCCUGACGCAGCGACGCCGCGUGGGUGAUGAAGGCCUUCAGGUUGUAAAGCCCUGUGGGGAAGAACGAAUAAGGGCGGGUGAAUAGCCCGUUUGAUGACGGUACUUCCUUAGCAAGCACCGGCUAACUCUGUGCCAGCCGCCGCAGUAAGAC